rnacentral:lncRNA from 1 species
UUUUUUUUGUUCUUUGCAAAAAAAAUAUUGGGAGCCAUUAUUAUUGUAACAUAUAGAUAAUUACUUUGGAGGAUGAAUGGACAUACAAAAUAAAUUAUGAGACAAAUUUUAAAUAGAUAUGAGAGCUCUCUAAAGCAUGCCACAUCAUCACAAUGAAGGCCUAGGAGCAAUUCAACCUUCCUUUUACUAGUAAAAGAUAU